GGGUUCAUGGCCUAAUGGUAAGGCGUCAGAUUUCGGUUCUUGUCCAAAGAAACAUCAUACCAGUCCUCUGAAGAUUGCAGGUUCGAUCCCUGCUGAGCUCG